CAAACUGAUAUCGGUAUAUCUACAUAACAUGCGGAAUGCUUCAAGGUUUUCUCAUUCGCAGAUCUUGAUUGAGGUGCAGGUAGUAGUUAACAGCUGUCGGAAGGAAGCAUAUACUCGGGUUGUUCGUCAUAUGAUCGUUUUGUAUGCAAGGGAACAUACGAUUUUGUGGUUUUCCUUGUGGAGUACGAAACAUGGCUCUUUUGUUUGGCUUUAACUUAAGCAUUAGUAAAACUUUGUAUCCACUUUCAUCUUAAGCAAGACGAAUUAAGCACUUGAAAGCUUCUUGUUGAACAGCUGAGCAUCUCUGAUUGAUAGAACAAUAUCUUUCCUUUU